GCCAGACUCCUACGGGAGGCAGCAGUGAGGAAUAUUGGUCAAUGGGCGCGAGCCUGAACCAGCCAAGUAGCGUGAAGGAUGACUGCCCUACGGGUUGUAAACUUCUUUUAUAAAGGAAUAAAGUGAGGCACGUGUGCCUUUUUGUAUGUACUUUAUGAAUAAGGAUCGGCUAACUCCGUGCCAGCAGCCGCGGUAAUACGGAGGAUGCGAGCGUUAUCCGGAUUUAUUGGGUUUAAAGGGUGCGUAGGCGGACUGGAAAGUCAGCGGUAAAAUCGAGAGGCUCAACCUCUUUCCGCCGUUGAAACUGUCGGUCUUGAGUGGGCGGGAAGUAUGCGGAAUGCGUGGUGUAGCGGUGAAAUGCAUAGAUAUCACGCAGAACUCCGAUUGCGAAGGCAGCAUACCGGCGCCCAACUGACGCUGAGGCACGAAAGCGUGGGUAUCGAACAGGAUUAGAUACCCCCGUAC
rnacentral:rRNA from 1 species